UACCUGCUGAGGAGUCCCACAAUAGGACGAAACGGUCGUCCAGUGC
rnacentral:hammerhead_ribozyme from 1 species